UGUUCUAACUGAGAACAGAUGGUUUCUACUUGCUUGGCUCUUCAGUUGACCGUGGCAGGGCACAAAACUUAACAUAAUUGUUGGAAAGGUGACAUCCUAUCACAGUGACAUGUUGAAAGUCACUACUGAGCUCUUCAGUAAGGCCAUUCUACAAUGUUUGUCUAUGGAGAUUGCAUGGCUGCGUGCUGGAUUUUAUACACCUGUCAGCAACGCGUGUGGCUGAAAUAGCAGAAGCCACUAAAUAUCGGUGUCCACAUACUUUUGUAUAUAUACACACAAUCUGUUAGCCAGUGAUAAUAUCAUUGUGAGGUCCAUGUGUCGGUAAGGUCACUGUGAGGUCCAUGUGUCGGUAAGGUCACUGUGAGGUCCAUGUGUCGGUAAGGUCACUGAGAGGUCCAUGUGUCGGUAAGGUCACUGAGAGGUCCAUGUGUCGGUAAGGUCACUGAGAGGUCCAUGUGUCGGUAAGGUCACUGAGAGGUCCAUGUGUCGGUAAGGUCACUGAGAGGUCCAUGUGUCGGUAAGGUCACUGAGAGGUCCAUGUGUCGGUAAGGUCACUGAGAGGUCCAUGUGUCGGUAAGGUCACUGAGAGGUCCAUGUGUCGGUAAGGUCACUGAGAGGUCCAUGUGUCGGUAAGGUCACUGAGAGGUCCAUGUGUCGGUAAGGUCACUGAGAGGUCCAUGUGUCGGUAAGGUCACUGAGAGGUCCAUGUGUCGGUAAGGUCACUGAGAGGUCCAUGUGUCGGUAAGGUCACUGAGAGGUCCAUGUGUCGGUAAGGUCACUGAGAGGUCCAUGUGUCGGUAAGGUCACUGAGAGGUCCAUGUGUCGGUAAGGUCACUGAGAGGUCCAUGUGUCGGUAAGGUCACUGAGAGGUCCAUGUGUCGGUAAGGUCACUGAGAGGUCCAUGUGUCGGUAAGGUCACUGAGAGGUCCAUGUGUCGGUAAGGUCACUGAGAGGUCCAUGUGUCGGUAAGGUCACUGAGAGGUCCAUGUGUCGGUAAGGUCACUGAGAGGUCCAUGUGUCGGUAAGGUCACUGAGAGGUCCAUGUGUCGGUAAGGUCACUGAGAGGUCCAUGUGUCGGUAAGGUCACUGAGAGGUCCAUGUGUCGGUAAGGUCACUGAGAGUAGAGUAGAGUCCUGGGACCUGUCUAGACUUGACAGUUCAUGCAGCUUUAGUAUUCUGCUCAUGAAGUCCCAAUGCGUUAUGCAUCUGCAUUUAACCAUGUCCACGGUGUGUCCGGAUUCCCUUUUCCUGAGAUAUAUUCAAAUGGCAGUAUGCAUUCUAAACACGGAGGAACAGGCAGAAUAUGAUAACAUGACAACUGAUGGCAGUAGCUAACUACUAGAGCUAGUUAGCCGGCCAGCCUCUGCCGUAGUUAGCGGGCCAGCCUCUGCCGUAGUUAGCCGGCCAGCCUCUGCAGUAGUUAGCCGGCCAACCUCUGCAGUAGUUAGCCGGCCAACCUCUGCAGUAGUUAGCCGGCCAACCUCUGCAGUAGUUAGCCGGCCAACCUCUGCAGUAGUUAGCCGGCCAA